CAAAAUGUUGUGACAAAUGGGAUUCUUACACAUACUGUAAAAGUAUCUUUCAGCUGAAUUUGAACCCUUAAUGAAUUAUGUUCUUUAUCGAAACUCACUGCAGUUAUACCAGAUGUUGGAAUGGGAAGAUGAAACUACAUCAAGAUGCUUGGUUUAUAGAUGUUUUACAGCUACAGGCAAACAAAAAUGAUCUCAUCCUCAUCUGCAAACCUACACAAUAUGGUCUUCUAUGGAAGAAUCUGGGUCUGAUGAAAACAGACAGAGUGACUCCGGUCAAACUCUAAACAAGAACAAUAAACUCAUUUUCAGGGGCUAAUGAAUGGAAUGUAUUGCCAGAUUGAAUAAGGAACUCUGAAAGUCUUACCAAGUUCAAGAAUGUAAUUGACACUUUAUGUGAUGCUAAAAAUAUAGAAUCUAGACAGGCUUUUAGGGCCUAGAUGCCAUUGCCUGAGACCACAUUGUAUUGUAUUGUAUUGUAUUGUAUUGUAUUGUAUUGUAUUGUAUUGUAUUACGCUGUAUUGUAAUAAUCUAUGUACUUAAUUUAGUACAGUCUCUGCGAAUCUCCACUAAGUUGUGAAUAAUUACCAAAAAAUGUUGACGGACGAUAGUGGCAUAUCUAAAAUAAUUUACGUAUGUCAGUUCAUAUAAAAACACCAAAAAUAUUAAACAUUUUUAGCCUGGAUUCAUGGUAAAAGCCCUGACUGUAAUCAAGGUGACUGAGGUUUGAUUAGCUGCACUGGCACUGAAAGAGACAGACAGGAAGGGAGGGUGAGAAGGGGCAUGACCCACUCACCUCUCCUGGUGGGAAAGGUGGUGUUUCAUGCACUCGGAGGCAGAGUGGUAUGAUCUUCCUGAUGGAGACUGGAAAGAUCACCAUAUGUGCUGUGUGGUGGGGGGGGGUGCAGCUAAAAGGCAAUGUUCCUUGCAGAAAAGAGGGCAUCCUUCAUUGACAACAUGCCCCCCUUCCUAGCUCCUCAACAUGUGCACACUGAGUAAAGGAUGGGGAGAAAAAUGGGGGUAAAAAUGAACCACACCCUGAUGGCUGCCUGGAUGAUAACCCACAUCAAUCAACUCUCACCUGGUAGGGAAUAGAUGAACUGAUUGGCAAAGCGAAUGUCUGAUGGUUGGCAGGCAAUCAGGCAAAUCCAUAAAAAUAAUUAAACAUAUUUUGGAAAGCAGGUAAAAUACCACAUUUGCAUUUCAUAUAAGGAUCUUGUCUGAACUGCAUCUAUAUGUCUUAUAUGUUCAGAUACUUGCAUUGAUUUACAAAAUAUAUAUAUACAUAGUUGGGGCUUAUGGAGAUUGUAAUUGUUAAUUUGUUGUGUCUUUUCCUAUCUGCAAGAAAUGUAUAAAAAUAUAUAUGCAUACAUAUGUGUGUGUGUGUGU